CAACACUGUAACUUUAGAGCUCUCACAUUGCCCUAGGCUUUUGUAUGAAUAGCAGACAGAAAGAAUCUUAUCACUCAAAUGGUGUUAAGCUAAGGCAAUCACUGGGCCUAACCCUACAAUAUCAAAUUAAAUAUUGAACAAGGAAAGGUAACCCACACAUAAAGGUUCACCCCUCAAAGAAGAUCGCCUGUAUUAGUUAAUUCUUUAUUGUAUAUAUAGUGCAUAUAGUAUACCUUUUGUGGUUCCCGACGGAGUGUCAACAUGCACUUCAAACCAGUUUAUUGUUUGAUGUCACUAGAUGGGUGUAUUGUUAGGAUUUAGGUGUCUUUAUUCUUUGGGGCGAUAUUGUGGUUUACUGGGGUAAGUUUCAUUCCUCCUUCCCCCUAGUAUUUAUCUCUUAUGUACUUAACUUCUACCCUCUCUCUAAAUGUAUGUUUGGGCCUGCUUCUAUCAAAACCACAGCCUUACAAGACCCCUACAACCCUACCGAAAACGUUAUCCUUGUAUGUGGGGUGUUGUGUCUAACUUGUAUCUCCUCAAAGACUAGAGCAAUUUCAGAACCUAUCACCACUGACGUUAGAUUGGCUGCUUGCCAAGUGAAUGAGCGGGAUACAAGCUUUCAUGUAUAGUGAUCUGUAAAAUAUAUUUUGUCCAAUACAUUACGGGUUGUCUUUUUCCCAGCCUGUUCCCCC